GGAUAUAUAAGGACUACGGCAGUUUGUUAGACACAGUCACAUUGAUACAAUAGCACAAUGAUCAAGCUGGUAGUUCUGUUCGCUCUGGUAGCCGUAGCAAGCGCGGGGGUGAUUGCUCCAAUCGUCCCUGUUGCUCACCCAGUGGUUCAUCACGUGGCCCCGGUGGUUCCAGUGGCAUCGGUGCACUCCGCAGUGGUUCACCACAGACCCAUCGUCCACGCCCCGUUGGUACACGCACCAUUGGUUCACGCGCCAGUGGUUCACGCUGCACCAGUGGUCCCCAUUGUUAAACACCAUUCACCGAUCCUUCUCCACCAUUAAUAAAAUAAAUUAUUUUAUAUA